UACGAAGGGGGCUAGCGUUGUUCGGAAUUACUGGGCGUAAAGCGCACGUAGGCGGAUAUUUAAGUCAGGGGUGAAAUCCCGGGGCUCAACCCCGGAACUGCCUUUGAUACUGGGUAUCUUGAGUGUGGUAGAGGUGAGUGGAAUUGCGAGUGUAGAGGUGAAAUUCGUAGAUAUUCGGAAGAACACCAGUGGCGAAGGCGGCUCACUGGACUGGUAUUGACGCUGAGGUGCGAAAGCGUGGGGAGCAAACAGG
rnacentral:rRNA from 1 species